CAUGCACCAGUGGGGUCCCUCGGCCUGGCCUGGGGGAAAGUGCCAAAACCAGCUCUCAGACAUCCCCCGAGGGAUCCCGGAUUGUGAGAGGGUACAGGCCAGGCCGAGGGACCCCACUGGUGCAUG
rfam:Myotis brandtii contig279481, whole genome shotgun sequence.